ACUGGAGAUGCCCUAGACUGUCUCUUCAAGUGGUGGGACAGAGUGUUCCUGGCUCUUCAAGUUGUUUUGGUGGAUGAGGAAGCCCUUCUCUGGGGCCUGCCUAGGGUUCUGAGUUGUAUGGGAACCACAGAAGGUUUUCUCACUUGGAUCUAUUAACUGCAGGACGGGUGACCUUCACAUGGCCACAGCCUGUCAUAACAAACUGGUCAAUGCACGUACUCAACGUCCAGACCACAGACCCUUGGUGGCCCUAAAAGGUCAGUUUUUUCCUGAGCUUGAUGCCUUUUGCCAUGUGGAUUAGUUGGGGCGCUGUCUGAGGGAGGCUGUCAGCGUGAUGGAAGUGGAUGGAGGCAAGACACGUGAGAGAAAGCAGCCAACGGGGGAACGUGGUCUCCCAAGACGGAGCAGUUUCAAAUGCCACCUGGCUUCUGAGGAUGGAGCAGUUAAGCAAAGGAAAGAACUAAAGCAUUGAGAUGGUGAGGAAAAAAGAAGAGAAAAAAAUUCAGGAUGUGUAAUAUGUGGUGCAACCCAUGGAUAGAUGGCCAUUGUUCUAGAAGGAAAUGUCAGUGAUGGGCCAAAGGGAAUAUUUCCUUUUGCCACCAGGGCUUUCUAAGCCUGAGCUCUGGGAAAGGUGAAGGGGGAACUUCUGGAGGUGAGUUUUCUACUGAAUACAGCCACUGUGUCAAA